rnacentral:rRNA from 1 species
GACGAACGCUGGCGGCGUGCCUAAUACAUGCAAGUAGAACGCUGAAGACUUUAGCUUGCUAAAGUUGGAAGAGUUGCGAACGGGUGAGUAACGCGUAGGUAACCUGCCUACUAGCGGGGGAUAACUAUUGGAAACGAUAGCUAAUACCGCAUAACAGCUUUUAACUCAUGUUAGGAGCUUGAAAGAUGCAAUUGCAUCACUAGUAGAUGGACCUGCGUUGUAUUAGCUAGUUGGUGAGGUAACGGCUCACCAAGGCGACGAUACAUAGCCGACCUGAGAGGGUGAUCGGCCACACUGGGACUGAGACACGGCCCAGACUCCUACGGGAGGCAGCAGUAGGGAAUCUUCGGCAAUGGGGGCAACCCUGACCGAGCAACGCCGCGUGAGUGAAGAAGGUUUUCGGAUCGUAAAGCUCUGUUGUAAGAGAAGAACGUGUGUGAGAGUGGAAAGUUCACACAGUGACGGUAACUUACCAGAAAGGGACGGCUAACUACGUGCCAGCAGCCGCGGUAAUACGUAGGUCCCGAGCGUUGUCCGGAUUUAUUGGGCGUAAAGCGAGCGCAGGCGGUUUAAUAAGUCUGAAGUUAAAGGCAGUGGCUUAACCAUUGUUCGCUUUGGAAACUGUUAGACUUGAGUGCAGAAGGGGAGAGUGGAAUUCCAUGUGUAGCGGUGAAAUGCGUAGAUAUAUGGAGGAACACCGGUGGCGAAAGCGGCUCUC